UAUAUAUAUAUAUAUAUAUAUGUUCCAGACCGUAUGAGUAUUUGGACCGUACGCGUACGGUCCGGACCGUAUACGUAUACUCGUACGGUCGGACCGUAUGAGUAUACGCGUACGGUCGGACCGUAUGAGUAUACGCGUACGGUCCAGCUGACCAUACAUGUUUUGGGAUCAUAUGGGUUAAAUUCAAACAAAUGUUUAUCAAAAUCCUUAUUAUUAGUUAUGCAAAUUGUUAUUAUUACAAUAAGAUGGAUAAAGUGAAUAAGCGAACAAUUGAAAUUGAAUAUUUGUUUGAUUUUAUAUCCGUGAAUCCUUUUGUGUUACUCUGGCCCAAGGUGACACUUGCUUCCACAAGGAACGUCAUAUUUUUUUUUUACAUUUUCAUGCAUGUUCCUUUGCAUAUGCAUUUUUUUGUAAAGUUCCUAAAUAUUCUUCAACAAUUGUCCUGCCACAUUAUGUUUACUUCCGAGAAUUUCAAUGAGCAUACUUGGCUGAAAUUAAUGAAUUACUGACAUGCUUAAUACAGGAGAUUAACAGAUUAAAUAAGCGUGAUUUUUUUAAAAUUUAAAAUAUUAAGUUUUUAUUUCAAUUACUAUAAUUGAAAUUUUUAUAUUAAUUUGAGAUAGAAGUUAUUUUGAUACUUGUUAU
rnacentral:lncRNA from 1 species